rnacentral:lncRNA from 1 species
AAAGAGAACACUCUUUAGACAACAGCAGUUGAUGUAUCUUCUGCUUAGUGGUUAGUGCUUUGGCCUUGCCAUUUAUCACUUUCAUUUUGUUUAAAUGUAAGUUAAUAUUGGUAUUGGAUCCCACUAAUUUGAGUUCCAAAAUAAAAUUUUCUGUUUUUAUACUCAAUUGAUGGAAUAUGAUUUACAAAUUCACUCAAAAUUUAAAGAAAAGACAAUAAAAGUAAAAUAUAAAGAUUUGUAUGAAUAUUCAUUACAUUUCAACUUUGACUUUGAAUACAAAAGGUCAUUAGAUAGAUCUUUAUAUAUCAGAUUGUAUCAACUGCAGAACACAGUAACAACAAAAUCAAAAGGAAGAUAUCAUGGGUACUGAUAAAGAUUGAUAAUGAAAAAGGAAAAAAUAAAGCAAACACUGUAAAAGAGAGGAGAGAAAGAUACCAGAGGGACAUUCAAACUCUUAGAUCUAAAAUAAACAGACAGCACCAUGGCCAAAAAAAGAAAAA